rnacentral:rRNA from 1 species
UCUCCUGGAAACGGGUGGUAAUGCCGGAUGCUCCAUCACACCGCAUGGUGUGUUGGGAAAGCCUUUGCGGCAUGGGAUGGGGUCGCGUCCUAUCAGCUUGAUGGCGGGGUAACGGCCCACCAUGGCUUCGACGGGUAGCCGGCCUGAGAGGGCGACCGGCCACAUUGGGACUGAGAUACGGCCCAGACUCCUACGGGAGGCAGCAGUGGGGAAUAUUGCACAAUGGGCGCAAGCCUGAUGCAGCGACGCCGCGUGAGGGAUGGAGGCCUUCGGGUUGUAAACCUCUUUUGUUAGGGAGCAAGGCACUUUGUGUUGAGUGUACCUUUCGAAUAAGCACCGGCUAACUACGUGCCAGCAGCCGCGGUAAUACGUAGGGUGCAAGCGUUAUCCGGAAUUAUUGGGCGUAAAGGGCUCGUAGGCGGUUCGUCGCGUCCGGUGUGAAAGUCCAUCGCUUAACGGUGGAUCCGCGCCGGGUACGGGCGGGCUUGAGUGCGGUAGGGGAGACUGGAAUUCCCGGUGUAACGGUGGAAUG